rnacentral:misc_RNA from 1 species
UCCUCGUCCCUCGUCCGACCUCGUCUCGUGCUGGCUGGAGGCUGGAGUGAUGCUAGAAUUUGGGUUCUCCACGCCGUUUCAAACAGAUGGCGUUCGAUCCUAAUACCGUAAUUUACAUUAAAUUGAGUGACAUGCCCGUCGUGCAAGGGAGGUUAGUUCAAAUUAAUAUGUUAUAGAAAAAAACUUAACGUCACUUCGGUUUUAAUUUGUUUAAAACUGCAGUUUAUAACCUAUUAGUCUGCUAAUCACGACCUGUGCUCUUUCUAGGUUUUACCAUGUCUCACAAGAGAUACCUAAUGUGUGUUCAUUGCGAUCCAGCCAUAUUUUUAAGUGAUAUUUCACAAUUGAAUAAGCACCUCCGCACUGCACAUCCACAUUUGCAGUCCUAUCAAUGUGGGCACUGCAAGACUUUGUGUGUCCACAAGACAUCAUUGAUACGUCACAUAGAAGUGCAUGCUGCAAAGGAUGAUGCACCAUCAGGUGGUUCGAGCCCAUCUCAAUCAAAUACUGGUGACGACAGUGACCAAGAUACAGAUACCACAACAGUGUUGACUUCUGAAGAUAUUCACAUUGUAGGAGAAGAGACAAAUGAAAAUAACGAUAACGUUGUUUUGGUGCAACAAGUACCACCCGCUCCUGCUUUUGAUAUCAAGACAGAAGCAGGAUUGUUUUUACUAAAGCUACGUUCCUCAGGGAACAUUACUCAUGCAUCUGUUAGAUUAAUUCAGGACUUUGUUGCAGAAUUACUGCAAAAUAUACUUCAAGAUGCUGGAAGUAAAACUAUUGAAUUUCUCGACAGUUGCGGUGUGACUCCAGAGCAAUCAGCACCAUUCGUAACUGGAAAUACAUUCAGCCCAGGGAAUCCUUUUGAUGGUCUUGAAACCCUUGAGGAUCAGUUGAAUUACUUCUGUGAUAAGUAUGGAAUGGUUAUACCCGAAGAAAAAUUCUUAGGCUUUCGAAUUGAAAACAGGUUUGAUAGAGAAAAGAGAAUGUUUAUACCGAAACAAGUCACAGAAACAUUCCAAUAUGUCUCAGUAAUAGAGACACUUAAACUUAUCUUGAGUAAUGCAGCUAUGAGAUGUCUUAUUGAAUCUGAAGAACAAAGUUCUGAUGGAGUGUACCGCUCCUACAAAGAUGGUUCAGAUUUUAAAGCAAACUGUUUUUUGAAAAAGUAUCCAAAUGCCAUUAGAAUUGUGAUUUAUCUUGAUGAUUUGGAAAUUGCAAAUGCUUUGGGAUCCAAAGAUGUUAUUCACAAACUUGGCUGCUUUUAUUUCUCAAUACAGAACUUGCCAGCUGAAGAGAGCUCUCAACUUUCAUCAGUGUUUUUAUUUGCUUUGACUUAUGCUGAAGAUCUUAAAACACCAGGAGUUUAUGCGAAAGUUUUGAAACCUCUUGCUGAUGAAGUGAAAAAGCUCAUGUCAGAAGAGGGUGUGGUCCUUAACUUGCCAGAGGGGGGAACUUACACCAUAAGAGCUUGUUUGGUGUGUCUGUGUGCAGAUUCAUUGGCUGCCCAUUCUAUUUUAGGUUUCAUGUCUCCAUCAGCAAACAUGUUCUGUCGAUGUUGCCUUGUCUCUAAAAAAGAUCUCUGUGGUGACUCAGCAGCUAUGGGUAUGCCUCGUACAACAGUGUUACAGAAAGAGCAUGUACGUCAAGUUGAAGAGAACCCUGCCCUCCGUUCAAAGUUCGGAGUGGACCAAAAAUCUGCCCUUGUUGAUGUUUUGAGAGUGCCAGAAGACUGUGCCUUUGACGCUUUUCAUGAUCUUGUUGGAGUGAUUCAAAUGGACAUAAAAUUGGCCCUGUAUGAGUUCAUAUGUGUUCGAAAGCUGUUUACAGCACCUGAUUUCAAUGCAAGCAUCAACAUGUUUCAAUACGGCAAGCCUGAUUCAAGAAAUAAGCCGUCACCAAACUUUAUGUAUCGGCAACUUUGUGAGGCUGGUCAUUCCUUUAAGCAAUCAGGUUCUCAGACCUUUUGCCUCUUGAGAGUAUUUCCGUUCCUUGUAACAGGUGUUGAAGCUGGUGAUCCUUAUCUUGAGUUGAUUUUCUUGCUGCAAGAUAUUGUUAGAAUUUCUCUGUCAUUCGAAGCCACAGAUGCUCAUUCUUUGACUUUGGACAACCUCGUUCUGGAACAUAACAAUCUGUUCCAUAGAACAAAUGUUGCACCUGCCCCUGCUGCACCAAUUGCUGCUGUAGAAGUGGAUUCUGACGGUGAUAGUGAAAAUGAAGAACUGAUUUCUGAUGAAGACGGAGAAAGCGGACAAGAAGGAGAAGAAGGUGAUGAUGGAGAGGAUGAAGAAGAGGAAGAAGUAGAACAAGUGGAACCCAGAAGAAGGAGAAGAAAAAGGAGAAGGAAAAGAUUGAGUAAAGUGUUGAAAAAGGGAAUAAAUAAAAUGCAUCACCUUUUGCAUUAUGGAGCCCAAUUACGCCAAAAAGGUCCAAUCGUCCGUUUGUGGUGUGCGAAGUAUGAAGGAAAGCAUCGUCUUUUCCGGAAACAUUCAGGAGUGCAGUGUAAUUUUAAGAAUCCUCCUAAAACAAUGGCUAAAAUGUUUCAGCUCAGCACAUUAGCUCCUCUCCUAGCUAAGAAACAAAUAAGGAAAGCUGAGCAUAUUUCUUUAACAACUGGUGCAACAAAAACUUUGGUUGAAAACCAUGCUUACAAAGAUAUGCUGCUCAAUGAGGGUCUUAACCAAGAUGACAAAAUUGAAGUUGUGCAAUCUGCAGAGUGGUGUGGAGAAGAAUAUAGCCCAGGCCUAUUUGUGGUUUUAACUGGAGGUCCAAAUCCACAGUUUGCAUUGAUUGAGGAGGUUUUAGUGAUAAAUAAACCAGCAGAACCUGGAAAGCUUCUUCUAAUAGUGCUGAAAUGUCAGAACAAAGGGCUGUGUCCUAGAUAUAAUUCUUAUGCCAUCUCCAACGAGUUUACUUCAGCACCAGAGCUGGUCAAUGUUCAACAGCUGAAAAACUUCCGGGCGAUUGCACCAUGGAGUCCUGUUGGCUCUACCACCUCAGACACUUUGUACUUGUACCCUCGUACAGUCUUUGUGUAAAGAUUGGGUAGAGCUUUACACACAUGUUCACAUUUUUCAGUUUCUUCAAUAAGUCAAUAUCAUGACACUCCAUCCAUUCUUUAUUUGAUUUAUCUGUACGCAUGACAUUUUAUGAAUAUCAAAUAGAAUUCACUUGAUUCUUUUAUCUUUUGCUCAACUUUCAUCAGAGCAUGAACUUCGACCAGCCCUGGGGAUG